rnacentral:misc_RNA from 1 species
GAAAUGCGAUAAGUAAUGUGAAUUGCAGAAUUCAGUGAAUCAUCGAAUCUUUGAACGCACCUUGCGCUUCUUGGUAUUCCUUUGAGCAUGCCUGUUUGAGUAUCAUGAAAUCUUCAAAGUAAAUCUUUUGUUAACUCAAUUGGUUUCUACUUUGGUAUUGGAGGUCUUUGCAGCUUCACACCUGCUCCUCUUUGUUCAUUAGCUGGAUCUCAGUGUUAUGCUUGGUUCCACUCGGCGUGAUAAGUUAUCUAUCGCUGAGGACACUGUAAAAGGUGGCCAAGGUAAAUGCAGAUGAACCGCUUCUAAUAGUCCAUUGACUUGGACAAUACUUUUAUGAUCUGAUCUCAAAUCAGGUAGGACUACCCGCUGAACUUAAGC